AUACCGCAUGAGACCACAGCAUCGCAUGGUGCAGAGGUCAAAGGAGUAAUCCGGUUCGGGGUGGGCUCGCGUCUGAUUAGCCAGUUGGUGAGGUAACGGCUUACCAAAGCAACGAUCAGUAGCCGACCUGAGAGGGUGAUCGGCCACAUUGGAACUGAGAGACGGUCCAAACUCCUACGGGAGGCAGCAGUGGGGAAUAUUGGGCAAUGGGCGAAAGCCUGACCCAGCAACGCCGCGUGAAGGAAGAAGGUUUUCGGAUCGUAAACUUCUAUCCUUGGUGAAGAUAAUGACGGUAGCCAAGAAGGAAGCCCCGGCUAACUAUGUGCCAGCAGCCGCGGUAAUACGUAGGGGGCAAGCGUUGUCCGGAAUGAUUGGGCGUAAAGGGCGCGUAGGCGGCCCGGUAAGUCUGAAGUGAAAGUCCUGCUUUUAAGGUGGGAAUUGCUUUGGAUACUGUCGGGCUUGAGUGCAGGAGAGGUAAGCGGAAUUCCCGGUGUAGCGGUGAAAUGCGUAGAGAUCGGGAGGAACACCAGUGGCGAAGGCGGCUUACUGGACUGUAACUGACGCUGAGGCGCGAAAGUGUGGGGAGCAAACAGGAUUAGAUACCCUGGUAGUCCACACUGUAAACGAUGAAUACUAGGUGUCGGGCGUCAAAACUCGGUGCCGCAGCUAACGCA
rnacentral:rRNA from 1 species